rnacentral:rRNA from 1 species
UCCACGCCGUAAACGAUGUCUACUAGGUUGUGGAAGUUCUGACGCUUGCACGGCCGAAGCAAAAGUGAUAAGUAGACCGCCUGGGGAGUACGGUCGCAAGGCUAAAACUCAAAGGAAUUGACGGGGGCUCACACAAGCGGUGGAGCAUGUGGAUUAAUUCGAAGCAACGCGCAGAACCUUACCUGGGCUUGACAUGCUUGGAUGCUGUCCAUGAAAGUGGGUUAGCUGCCCUUCGGGGUGAAACUUGCACAGGUGCUGCAUGGCUGUCGUCAGCUCGUGUCGUGAGAUGUCGGGUUAAGU